rnacentral:rRNA from 1 species
AUGAGUGAAUUGUUCCAGCUGUUCAAUCUGCGCGACCUCGACAAAUCUAUGCUGAGUUGCUACGUUCUAUUGAAGAUUUGGGAAUGCAAAAUAAGAAACAUCCAUGAUGUUGGGUUCAUUGACCCACAUAUCAUUAAUGGACAUGUGUUACAAUAUCACCCCGAAGACGUGGAGAAAGACUUGUACAAGUUUCUUAGAAAACAUCAACUCAAAAGUCAUAUUCUAUUUCCUUACCAUUUUGGGUUCCACUGGAUUCUGCUAAAUAUUGAACUUCACACCUCCAGAGUUCUAAUCAUGGACUCUAUGGAUUCAGAUCCAAAGCGUUGGGCCGACAUGAGAAAAAUGCUGCAAAAGGUUUGGAGACGGUUCUCAGAAAAAAUUGUCGGUGAAUUCAAACAUGAGCUAGAUUUCAGAAGGUUAGUUAAUGUGGAUAAGCAGCCACCGGGGACCAAUCUAUGUGGAUACUAUGUUUGUGAGAACAUCCGGAGACUAACCUCUGAGCGGAAGGCAUUGGAUAGCGUGCGGAACACGACGGAUAACUUGCGGAGGAGGCUUAGUCCAGAAGCUCGCUUCCGACCAAUUCAAGAUGAAUUAGCAGGAUUUUUCUUGAGGGAAGUCAUCAAUCCUAAAGGAGAACACUAUACCGAGGACGCAGACAUUUAUAUGCAUACCAGAGAUUGA